GCAAUGUUGGGAAAACAAUGCUGGAGACUCCUUACAGUGCCACAUUCUCUUUGUGCAAGGGUGCUAAAUGGCCGUUAUUUUCCUCAUUGUGAUUUCUGGUUGGCACCACAGCCAAGAAGUUCAUCUUUUACAUGGCGAAGUCUCAUGCAUGGGAAGAAGCUACUGGAAAAAGAUGAAGAAUCUGGUGAUUGGAAUGAGGGCCUUAUUCGAACAUGCUUCACAGAAGGUGAUGCAGAUAAGAUCCUACAAAUUCCAUUGAGCAAAACAGCCUGUGAGGAUUUCCCAGCCUAGCCACAUUCUAAAACAGAGGAGAGAAUUCAGAUCAAAAGGAAACUUCUAAAAUGUGGAAACGUCUUUGGUCCAUUAAGGCGCCGCCCAAGAUGAAAGUUAUGCUAUGGAGGAUGGCUCAGGACUGUUUGCCGACAGAUGGUGCUACUGAUGAGGAUGCAACGGUCUUUACCAUCACAGCCUGUCAUAUUUGGGAGGCAAGAAAUGCGCAACAUUUAAAAAUCCACCUCGUAUGGGUGUUGGUUUGGUGGUUCGUGAUCAUAGAGGUGAUUUCAUUGCUGCGUGCUGUCAGUUAAUACAAAGAUUCGAUGACCCAGAGCUAGCUGAAGCAAUAGCCAUAAGGAGAGCUGUCUCCUUUUCCUUGGAGCAAAACUUGCAGCAAGUUGUUGUGGCCUCGGACUGCUUAAGUGUUAUCAAGAAGAUAAAAUCCAAGGUCCAUGAUAGAUCUCAUGUGGCGAUCAUUAUUCAGGAUGUUAGAAACUUAAUCAGUGAAAAUCCUUCUGUAACAUUUACCUAUGUUAGUAGGUGGUGUAAUGAGGCAGCUCAUGUUAUAGCUAAGCAAGCUGAUGUGUUUAAAGAUGUAAUUUGGUUUAAUGAGCCUCCAGAAAUUAUUCGGAACAUAAUAUGUAAUGAACGCUUGGUUUAAUAU